rnacentral:rRNA from 1 species
GACGGAGGGGGCUAGCGUUGUUCGGAAUUACUGGGCGUAAAGAGUGCGUAGGCGGUUUAGUAAGUUGGAAGUGAAAGCCCGAGGCUUAACCUCGGAACUGCUUUCAAAACUACUAAUCUAGAGUGUAGUAGGGGAUGAUGGAAUUCCUAGUGUAGAGGUGAAAUGCGUAGAGAUUGGAAAGAACACCGAUGGCGAAGGCACUUUACUGGGCUAUUACUAACACUCAGAGACGAAAGCUAGGGUAGCAAAUGGG